rnacentral:rRNA from 1 species
GUAGGUGGCAAGCGUUGUCCGGAAUUAUUGGGGCGUAAAGCGCGCGCAGGCGGUUCGUUUAAGUCUGAUGUGAAAGCCCACGGGCUCAACCGUGGAGGGUCAUUGGAAACUGGAGAACUUGAGUACAGAAGAGGAAAGCGGAAUUCCACGUGUAGCGGUGAAAUGCGUAGAGAUGUGGAGGAACACCAGUGGCGAAGGCGGCUUUCUGGUCUGUAACUGACGCUGAGGCGCGAAAGCGUGGGGAGGCAAACAGGAUUAGAUACCCUGGUAGUCCACGCCGUAAACGAUGAGUGCUAAGUGUUAGGGGGUUUCCGCCCCUUAGUGCUGCAGCUAACGCAUUAAGCACUCCGCCUGGGGAGCACGGCCGCAAAGGCUG